rnacentral:lncRNA from 1 species
UUACUUGAAUUCAUUGAUAUUUUCUCUGAAAUAUUUUACAUAUAUACACACAAAUUUGGCAAGGCUUUGCAGAGAAAGAAAGAAAGAAAGAAAGAAAGAAAGAAAGAAAGAAAGAAAGAAAGAAAGAAAGAAAGAAAGAAAGAAAGAAAGAAAGAAAGAAAGAAAGAAAGAAAGAAAGAAAGAAAGAAGGAAGGAAGGAAGGAAAAUGGAAGGAGG